rnacentral:lncRNA from 1 species
GUUUUUCUUCACUUUUGCUAACACGUGUAUUACCAAAACCAAUCCUGUUUCUCCAAACUGUUUUAAAAGUUUGUGGAGUUACUGUUUGGGUAAUAUAAGACCCGGAGGCCUGACACAAUUAAGCAACUCAGCCUGCCAACCUGUCUGGGAAAGAAGGUUUAAGUACCACACUUCCUAAAGCCUGACCCAACGCUAAGACUACUUCUGAUGGAGACUUUUUUGAGGACUCUGGAAAGAAGACAAAGAAGGUGGACUCUCUGCCACGGAGCCACCGAGGAAACCCUGAGCUGGCAAAGCAGACACGCUUACUCCUGCCCUACUGAAGCAAAAAGGAAACUCCAGGAACUCAAAUAACCUGUGGUACAUACCAAGUGAUUGGGAUGGAAUUCAAUUCGGAUAAUCAAGUACAUUAAACUUACAAAACCUACUAAAAGCAUGGGGUUAAGUGAUUCAGUAAAGGGUUAGAUCAAUUCAGAAGAACAAUGCUGAGUUUUUUAUCGUCAGGAACAACCGACCACACCCAGAGUUUCUGGGGAGUCUGCUCCAGCUGGUUUCUAGGCUACAUACAUAAAUAAGAAUUGGGGCUUGUUUUCACACAAACACAUUAAUUCGUGAAGAGAUCAGGCUAAGAGUCCACGGAAUGCCGAAAAUCCAAACUGGUGACAGCACAGAGAUGCAAACAGCAUCUCACACUGACAAACCGCAUAUGGAUUUUCUGUCUUGAACUGAUUGGGGAAAAAUAGUUUGAGGUGAUGAACUGUAAACAUGUUGGAAGUAAUUGGUUUAGUAAGAAAAAGGGUGUUAAUUUAGAAAUAUCAAUACUCCUACCCUCCUGGUGAAUUAUGUAGAGACGGAAUGAAAUCAGAG